rnacentral:rRNA from 1 species
AGAGAUUGAACAUAAGAGUUUGAUCCUGGCUCAGAUUGAACGCUGGCGGCAUGCUUUACACAUGCAAGUCGGACGGCAGCACAGGGAAGCUUGCUUCUCGGGUGGCGAGUGGCGAACGGGUGAGUAACAUAUCGGAACGUACCGGGUAGCGGGGGAUAACUGAUCGAAAGAUCAGCUAAUACCGCAUACGUCUUGAGAGGGAAAGCAGGGGACCUUCGGGCCUUGCGCUAUCCGAGCGGCCGAUAUCUGAUUAGCUGGUUGGCGGGGUAAAGGCCCACCAAGGCGACGAUCAGUAGCGGGUCUGAGAGGAUGAUCCGCCACACUGGGACUGAGACACGGCCCAGACUCCUACGGGAGGCAGCAGUGGGGAAUUUUGGACAAUGGGCGCAAGCCUGAUCCAGCCAUGCCGCGUGUCUGAAGAAGGCCUUCGGGUUGUAAAGGACUUUUGUCAGGGAAGAAAAGGCUGUUGCCAAUAUCGGCGGCCGAUGACGGUACCUGAAGAAUAAGCACCGGCUAACUACGUGCCAGCAGCCGCGGUAAUACGUAGGGUGCGAGCGUUAAUCGGAAUUACUGGGCGUAAAGCGGGCGCAGACGGUUACUUAAGCAGGAUGUGAAAUCCCCGGGCUCAACCCGGGAACUGCGUUCUGAACUGGGUGACUCGAGUGUGUCAGAGGGAGGUGGAAUUCCACGUGUAGCAGUGAAAUGCGUAGAGAUGUGGAGGAAUACCGAUGGCGAAGGCAGCCUCCUGGGAUAACACUGACGUUCAUGUCCGAAAGCGUGGGUAGCAAACAGGAUUAGAUACCCUGGUAGUCCACGCCCUAAACGAUGUCAAUUAGCUGUUGGGCAACUUGAUUGCUUGGUAGCGUAGCUAACGCGUGAAAUUGACCGCCUGGGGAGUACGGUCGCAAGAUUAAAACUCAAAGGAAUUGACGGGGACCCGCACAAGCGGUGGAUGAUGUGGAUUAAUUCGAUGCAACGCGAAGAACCUUACCUGGUUUUGACAUGUGCGGAAUCCUCCGGAGACGGAGGAGUGCCUUCGGGAGCCGUAACACAGGUGCUGCAUGGCUGUCGUCAGCUCGUGUCGUGAGAUGUUGGGUUAAGUCCCGCAACGAGCGCAACCCUUGUCAUUAGUUGCCAUCAUUCGGUUGGGCACUCUAAUGAGACUGCCGGUGACAAGCCGGAGGAAGGUGGGGAUGACGUCAAGUCCUCAUGGCCCUUAUGACCAGGGCUUCACACGUCAUACAAUGGUCGGUACAGAGGGUAGCCAAGCCGCGAGGCGGAGCCAAUCUCACAAAACCGAUCGUAGUCCGGAUUGCACUCUGCAACUCGAGUGCAUGAAGUCGGAAUCGCUAGUAAUCGCAGGUCAGCAUACUGCGGUGAAUACGUUCCCGGGUCUUGUACACACCGCCCGUCACACCAUGGGAGUGGGGGAUACCAGAAGUAGGUAGGGUAACCGCAAGGAGCCCGCUUACCACGGUAUGCUUCAUGACUGGGGUGAAGUCGUAACAAGGUAGCCGUAGGGGAACCUGCGGCUGGAUCACCUCCUUUCUA